rnacentral:rRNA from 1 species
GGUGGAUGCCUUGGCAGUUAGAGGCGAUGAAGGACGUGUUAAUCUGCGAUAAGCGUUGGUAAGGUGAUAAAAACCGUCAUAGCCAACGAUUUCCGAAUGGGGAAACCCACUUAGCAUAAGCUAGGUAUCAUUAACUGAAUACAUAGGUUAAUGAGGCAAACCGGGAGAACUGAAACAUCUAAGUACCCCGAGGAAAAGAAAUCAACCGAGAUUUCGUUAGUAGCGGCGAGCGAACGCGAAUCAGCCCUUAAGCUUAUUGGGCGCUAGUGGAAUGUUCUGGAAAGGACAACGAUACAGGGUGAUAGUCCCGUACACUAAAGCAACCUUUAAGUGAAAUCGAGUAGGACGGAGCACGUGAAACUUUGUCUGAAUAUGGGGGGACCAUCCUCCAAGGCUAAAUACUACUGACUGACCGAUAGUGAACCAGUACCGUGAGGGAAAGGCGAAAAGAACCCCUGUGAGGGGAGUGAAAUAGAACCUGAAACCGCAUACGUACAAGCAGUGGAAGCCGGAUUUAGUCCGGUGACUGCGUACCUUUUGUAUAAUGGGUCAGCGACUUAUAUUCUGUAGCAAGGUUAACCGAUUAGGGGAGCCGUAGCGAAAGCGAGUGUUAACUGCGCGUUUAGUUGCAGGGUAUAGACCCGAAACCCGGCGAUCUACCCAUGGGCAGGUUGAAGGUUGAGUAACAUCAACUGGAGGACCGAACCCACUAACUUUGAAAAGUUAGGGGAUGACCUGUGGCUGGGGGUGAAAGGCCAAUCAAACCGGGAGAUAGCUGGUUCUCCCCGAAAUCUAUUUAGGUAGAGCCUCGCACGAACACCAUUGGGGGUAGAGCACUGUUAAGGCUAGGGGGUCAUCCCGACUUACCAACCCUUUGCAAACUCCGAAUACCAAUGAGUGAUAUGCGGGAGACACACUACGGGUGCUAACGUCCGUUGUGAAGAGGGAAACAACCCAGACCGCCAGCUAAGGUCCCAAAGUACUAGUUAAGUGGGAAACGAUGUGGAAAGGCAUAGACAGCUAGGAGGUUGGCUUAGAAGCAGCCAUCCUUUAAAGAAAGCGUAAUAGCUCACUAGUCGAGUCGGCCUGCGCGGAAGAUGUAACGGGGCUAAACUAGUCACCGAAGCUGCGGAUUUGAACUUAGGUUCAAGUGGUAGGGGAGCGUUCUGUAAGCCGUUGAAGGUGAAUUGAGAAGUUUGCUGGAGGUAUCAGAAGUGCGAAUGCUGACAUGAGUAACGAUAAUGGGGGUGAAAAACCCCCACGCCGGAAGACCAAGGUUUCCUGUCCCAUGCUAAUCAGGGCAGGGUUAGUCGGCCCCUAAGGCGAGGCAGAAAUGCGUAGUCGAUGGGAAACGGGUUAAUAUUCCCGUACCUUUUAUUACUGCGAUGGAGAGACGGAGUAGGCUAGAUCAGACGGGCGUUGGUUGUCCCGAUCUAAGCGCGUAGGGAGUUUUCUUAGGUAAAUCCGGGAAAACAUUAUCCUGAGACGUGAUGGCGAAGUCCUCUUUUGGACUGAGUGAUUGAUGCCAUGCUUCCAAGAAAAUCUUCUAAGCUUCAGGUAAUAAGAGACCGUACCCCAAACCGACACAGGUGGUCAGGUAGAGAAUACUAAGGCGCUUGAGACAACUCUGGUGAAGGAACUAGGCAAAAUGGCACCGUAACUUCGGGAGAAGGUGCGCUGUUAACGGUGAUCGGACUUGCUCCGUAAGCUGUUGACAGCCGAAGUGACCAGGCCGCUGCGACUGUUUAUUAAAAACACAGCACUCUGCAAACACGUAAGUGGAAGUAUAGGGUGUGACGCCUGCCCGGUGCCGGAAGGUUAAUUGAUGGGGUUAGCGUAAGCGAAGCUCUUGAUCGAAGCCCCGGUAAACGGCGGCCGUAACUAUAACGGUCCUAAGGUAGCGAAAUUCCUUGUCGGGUAAGUUCCGACCUGCACGAAUGGCGUAAUCAUGGCCACACUGUCUCCACCCGAGACUCAGUGAAAUUGAAUUUGCGGUUAAGAUGCCGUAUACCCGCGGCUAGACGGAAAGACCCCGUGAACCUUUACUAUAGCU